rfam:Equus caballus chromosome 8, whole genome shotgun sequence.
GUCUAUGGCCAUACCACCCUGAAUGGGCCCAAUCUCGUCUGAUCUCAGAAGCUAAGCAGGGUUGGGCCUGGUUAGUACUUGCAUUGGAGAAAGAGCGGUCCACAAGUCAUUGAUU